UAAUAAGUGUUUUAUGGCACUUUUUAAAUCCAUAUCCACCUUGUGUGCAAUGUCAGUCGAUCUUCUUCAUGGAGAUCGACCAAACAUCAACCUUUAUCUUUUAACUCUUUGUCAUGAAAAAUAUUAUGAAUAAACAAUUCAAAAUA
rnacentral:misc_RNA from 1 species